CAGCCUUUAAGUAACCGUCAAGACAUCUUCCUUAAGCUGUCUAAGACAAAGGUCAAAUCAAAUUGAGUGGAAUAAUAAUAAUUUUCUAGUGAUGGAGACUGUUGAGGCCGACCAAGAUAGUGUUGAGGCCGGCGGUCUCUGGGGUGAACAAUAGAGCGAGGUAAACAUAUGGAGGCUGCAGAUUGUACAGAAUGUCACCACCACCAGCUAAGAAACAAUGUCAGUCAAAUGAAGAGGAUAUUAGAGAAUUUAAGGAAUACUGGACUGAAAAGUUUGGCAUGAUUAAGAAGGAUGAUAAAGUUUUAUGCAUUUUCUGUU
rnacentral:misc_RNA from 1 species